UACGGAGGGAGCUAGCGUUGUUCGGAAUUACUGGGCGUAAAGCGCGCGUAGGCGGCUACUCAAGUCGGGGGUGAAAGCCCGGGGCUCAACCCCGGAACUGCCCUCGAAACUAGGUAGCUAGAAUCUUGGAGAGGCGAGUGGAAUUCCGAGUGUAGAGGUGAAAUUCGUAGAUAUUCGGAAGAACACCAGUGGCGAAGGCGACUCGCUGGACGAAGUAUUG
rnacentral:rRNA from 1 species